ensembl:lincRNA 4933406C10Rik RIKEN cDNA 4933406C10 gene
GUGGCUGUGACUGCCCGCCCUCACAACGGCCCGUUUUCUUCCCAGUGCUCUGAACUUUUGGGCAAAUGUGUCAAGUGUGUACACAGACAAAGCCUCACUUCAAAGCUCGUGUUCAGGGCCCUUAAAGUCAUAGUUAUUGCAAAACUGCGGCCGUCUGGCGAACCUGCCUUAUGUAAGGGUGCUUGAACGUAUGAUUCACCAAACAUUUCCGCAGACAUCGCAAAGUUGUUGGAGCCAGAGUAGGAGAAAGAUCACCCAUUUGAGAUCAUGGCUUGACAGGGAACACUCCCUCCUGCCACCAGAAUGGGACCAAUCUAGACAUCUCUUCUCUGGCUUCCUUGUGCCUGGCCUUUUUUGGAGGGUUGGGAUAGUGGCCUGUCUUCAUGCAUGGUGAGAUAACACCAACAUCGAAGGAAGAUCUUUGCCACAGAGGAUCCUAGUUCCAGCUCCCAGCAGCACGUCUGCCUGCACAUUAUGAUGCCUCCCACCAUGAUGACAAUGGACUAAAACCUCUGAAACUGUCCGGCUUGUUUGAUGUGGGAGCUAAGGUGGUCUAGACUGGUCUAACACAAAGCGAACACCCCAAGCGGGCCUGGACUAGAGAGGCUACCUGAACUGUGGCGUGCUUAAAGUAGUACCACAGAGAUGGGAGGCACCCAAGAGUCUUCGCCCCAUCAGGUGCUGCAAGAAACCUCUUCACUGAGCAGUUUAUAAACAAGUGUACUCCUCAGAGUCCGGAGGAAGGAGGUCUAAGAUGUAUUAACCCCAACGCCUCCUAGCUUGUGGAUCGAGUUCCUGUGGAGGAAGCUAACACAGCGGUAAGCAAAUGUGGACUGACAGAGGACACAGGGCCAUUCGAGAAACUGUCAGAAACUGAGAAUCACCUCAGAACACACUGAGAAGGAGAGCUAAGGAGGUGAGGCCUGGGUUGUGGGAGGUUGGCACCUGACAGCAGUGGUUCCCACUGCUGGGUUCUCUUCUGGUUUUGAUUGUCUACACUCAGGCUUCAGAGCCCUGGGCAUGAGAAAAAAAAAGGGAGAAUGAAUACGUUAGUAUUCCAUGAAGGCAUAGAAGCAGGUAUGUGGGAAUGGCUGUCGUUCUAUCUUCUGGGUAGUCAUGGCUGUCAGGUGGAAGGCCCAGGGAGAGCCAGUGUCCCGUCAGUCAAAACCAUGGCAGGGUGGCUUACAUUCUAUCUCAGAUAAAUUCUUUUUGUUUGGUAGAGAAGCAUUCUCUCUGCUCUAUUUCAGCUUCGGUUAAAUGGACUACGAGGACCCACGUCAUAGAGGGAAGUCUGUCUCACUGAUUCUGAUUUUUUUCAAAUAAAAUGUUUUCUUU